AAUUAGGAAAAUGCUUUACAAGUUGGUUUUUCUUUGGCAUCUUGCGCAAAGUUCUCAGCAUGGUGGCUUGAAUGGUUUAUGCGAGCCAAACUUCCAAAAGACAGAAGUGAACAGAACUGUUCGUCUUUGCUGUCAUAUGAAGAAGGAAAGUAGUCCCGAAGUAACUUGGAUUCGAUGGGUAAAGAUGACAUCUUACUUAUAAAUGAGUGGAUCAUUAAUGAAGAAAAGAAUCCAGAGCACAGUUUGCGCUUUAGACAAAGUGCAGAAAAUGGAAAUUUUGCCUAGAGAUGGCAAAUGUUCAAAAAUCAGAUUCUGGGAUAUACGUGUGUACAGUCUUCAGUGACGGGUAUCAAGAAACUGGAACAAUCAGCCUCGAAGUAACAGAAUCUCUUGUGCUACAUGACCGUAACGGCUGCAGAGCUCAUGGUUGUAAACCGAGUCAUCAAGUCCUCAUUUUAUGUUUGUAUGCAUUUGCUUUGAUACACGUUAAGUUAUUGG